UACGGAGGGGGCUAGCGUUGUUCGGAAUUACUGGGCGUAAAGCGCACGUAGGCGGCUUGUUAAGUCGGAUGUGAAAUCCCUCGGCUCAACUGAGGAAGUGCAUCCGAAACUGGCAGGCUUGAGUACUAAAGAGGGUCGCGGAAUUCCCGGUGUAGAGGUGAAAUUCGUAGAUAUCGGGAGGAACACCAGUGGCGAAGGCGGCGACCUGGGCCAAUACUGACGCUGAGGUGCGAAAGCGUGGGGAGCAAACAGGG
rnacentral:rRNA from 1 species